rnacentral:rRNA from 1 species
AACGAACGCUGGCGGCAGGCCUAACACAUGCAAGUCGAACGGAUGUAGCAAUACAUUAGUGGCGCACGGGAGAGUAACGCGUGGGAACCUACCUUUUGGUUCGGGAUAACGUCGGGAAACUGACGCUAAUACCGGAUACGCCCUUCGGGGGAAAGAUUUAUCGCCAUUAGAUGGGCCCGCGUUAGAUUAGCUUGUUGGUGAGGUAAUGGCUCACCAAGGCUACGAUCUAUAGCUGGUCUAAGAGGAUGAUCAGCCUCACUGGGACUGAGACACGCCCAAGAGUCCUACGGGGGGCAGGAGUGGGGAAUAUUGGACAAUGGGGGAACCCCUGAUCCAGCCAUGCGGCGUAAAUGAGGAAGGCCUUCGGGUUAUAAAGUUUUUUUGGCGGGGACGAUGAUGCCGGUACCCGCAGAAUACGCUCCGGCUAACUUCGUGCCAGCCCCCGCGGUAA